CGGACGGGUGAGUAAUGUCUGGGAACUGCCUGAUGAGGGGGAUAGCUACUGGAAACGGUAGCUAAUACCGCAUAACGUCGCAAGACCAAAGAGGGGGACCUUCGGGCCUCUUGCCAUCGGAUGUGCCCAGAUGGGAUUAGCUAGUAGGUGGGGUAAAGGCUCACCUAGGCGACGAUCCCUAGCUGGUCUGAGAGGAUGACCAGCCACACUGGAACUGAGACACGGUCCAG
rnacentral:rRNA from 1 species